rnacentral:rRNA from 1 species
UACGAAGGGGGCUAGCGUUGUUCGAAAUUACUGGGCGUAAAGCGCACGUAGGCGGAUCUUUAAGUCAGGGGCGAAAUCCCGAGGCUCAACCUCGGAACUGCCUUUGAUACUGGGGAUAUCGAGUCCGGGAGAGGUGAGUGGAACUGCGAGUGUAGAGGUGAAAUUCGUAGAUAUUCGCAAGAACACCAGUGGCGAAGGCGGCUCACUGGCCCGGUACUGACGCUGAGGUGCGAAAGCGUGGGGAGCAAACAGG